rnacentral:rRNA from 1 species
AAACUUGAGAGUUUGAUCCUGGCUCAGAACGAACGCUGGCGGCAGGUCUUAGGCAUGCAAGUCGAACGGGUGCAGCAAUGCACCAGUGGCGCACGAGUGAGUAACGCGUGGGAAGCUACCUUUCACUGGGGAAUAACGUUUGGAAACGAACGCUAAUACCGCAUACGCCGACCAAUUAAUUUUUUUCGCGCAAAGCGCAAAAAUUAAUUGGGAGAGUUAAAGCAAACGCUUUGCGUUUGCAGGGUUGAAGAGUUAGAGAGUUGAAGAUAAUAAUAUCUCCAACUCUGAUUUUGCGAAGCAAAAUCUUAACUCUCCAAAUCUCUAACUCUUAAUUAAUUUUUCUUCAGAAAAAUUAAUUGGUCGGGAAAGAUUUAUCGGUGAAAGAUGUGCCCGCGUUGGAUUAGCUUGUUGGUGGGGUAACGGCCUACCAAGGCGAUGAUCCAUAGCUGGUCUGAGAGGACGAUCAGCCACGCUGGAACUGAGACACGGUCCAGACUCCUACGGGAGGCAGCAGCUAAGAAUAUUGGGCAAUGGAGGAAACUCUGACCCAGCCAUGCCGCGUGAAUGAAGAAGGCCUUCGGGUUGUAAAGUUCUUUUAGUCGUGAAGAUGAUGACAGUAGCGACAGAAAAAGCACCGGCUAACUUCGUGCCAGCAGCCGCGGUAAUACGAAGGGUGCAAGCGUUGUUCGGAUUUACUGGGCGUAAAGCGUCCGCAGGUGGUUUGCUAAGUCAGGGGUGAAAUCCCGGGGCCCAACCCCGGAACUGCCUUUGAUACUGGCAAGCUGGAGCACGGAAGAGGAAGAUGGAAUAUCUGGUGUAGGGGUGAAAUCCGUAGAUAUCAGAUGGAACACCAAUGGCGAAGGCAGUCUUCUGGUCCGUUGCUGACACUCAUGGACGAAAGCGUGGGGAGCAAACAGAAUUAGAUACUCUGGUAGUCCACGCCCUAAACGAUGCAUGCUUGUUGUUAGGCUCCUUCGGGGGUUUAGUGACGAAGCUAACGCGUUAAGCAUGCCGCCUGGGGAGUACGAUCGCAAGAUUAAAACUUAAAGGAAUUGACGGGGACCCGCACAAGCGGUGGAGUAUGUUGUUUAAUUCGAUGCUACGCGAGAAACCUUACCGACCCUUGACAUGUCGCACGCGAUUUCCAGAGAUGGAUUUCUUCAAUUCGGUUGGUGCGAACACAGAUGCUGCAUGGCUGUCGUCAGCUCGUGUCGUGAGAUGUUAGGUUAAGUCCUGCAACGAGCGCAACCCACGCCCUAUGUUACCAGCGGAUAAUGCCGGGGACUCUUAGGGGACUGCCCGCGUCAAGCGGGAGGAAGGUGUGGAUGACGUCAAGUCAUCAUGGUUCUUACGGGUCGGGCUACAAACGUACUACAAUGGCGUUAACAAUGGGUCGCGAUGCGGCAACGCAAAGCCAAUCCUUAAAAAACGCCUCAGUUCAGAUUGUCCUCUGCAACUCGAGGGCAUGAAGCUGGAAUCGCUAGUAAUCGCUGAUCAGAAUGCAGCGGUGAAUACGUUCCCGGGUCUUGUACACACCGCCUGUCAAACCAUGAGAGUCGAUUUCACCCGAAGUCGGUAGUCUAACGCAAGAGGACGCCGCCUACGGUGGGGUUGGUGAUUGGGGUUAAGUCAUAACAAGGUAGCAGUACCGGAAGGUGCGGCUGGAUCACCUCCUUU